rnacentral:ncRNA from 2 species
CUAGUCGAGGGAUGCUGCGACGUUUUACAGGCACAAAAUGUAAAAGCGCCAGGCUCGACGAUCGGUUAAAUAUUCUUUUAACCAACAACGGCAUCCGCGAACU